rnacentral:lncRNA from 1 species
AAAAGUUAGGGAUAAAAAUAAAAGAAAAGAACUGUACACCCGGCAAGUUGAAAACCCGCAAGGGCGACUUGGGCAAAAAAGGGUAUCCCGGUGGACUGAAGCCCGAAAGGGCGGUCCAGGCAAAAGAGGGAAUGAAACGAACAACUGCGUCCAGCAUGAUCAUUUGUGCUCUUGAUGACUUGGCUAAUCUCCGACAGAGACCGAUC